GACGAACGCUGGCGGCGUGCUUAACACAUGCAAGUCGAACGGAAAGGCCCUGCUUUUGUGGGGUGCUCGAGUGGCGAACGGGUGAGUAACACGUGAGUAACCUGCCCUUUACUUUGGGAUAACUUCAGGAAACUGGUGCUAAUACCGGAUAGUAGCUCCUGCUGCAUGGUGGGGGUUGGAAAGUUUCGGCGGUUGGGGAUGGACUCGCGGCUUAUUAGCUUGUUGUUGGGGUAGUGGCUUACCAAGGCUUUGACGGGUAGCCGGCCUGAGAGGGUGACCGGACACAUUGGGACAGAGAUACGGCCCAGACUCCUACGGGAGGCAGCAGUGGGGAAGAUGGAACAAUGGGCGGAAGCCUGAUGCAGGAAAGGCGAGUGCGGGAUGACGGCCUUCGGGUUGUAAACCGCUUUCGCCUGAGACGAAGCGUGAGUGACGGUAAGGGGUAAAGAAGCACCGGCUAACUACGU
rnacentral:rRNA from 1 species